GUAAAUAUAGUUAAAAAAGAACAUUAGAUUGUGAUUCUAAAAAUAGAGGAUAAAACCCUCUUGUUUACC
rnacentral:tRNA from 1 species